rnacentral:rRNA from 1 species
UGGGGAAUUUUGGACAAUGGGGGAAACCCUGAUCCAGCCAUCCCGCGUGUGCGAUGAAGGCCUUCGGGUUGUAAAGCACUUUUGGCAGGAAAGAAGCGUCGCGGGUUAAUACCCCGCGAAACUGACGGUACCUGCAGAAUAAGCACCGGCUAACUACGUGCCAGCAGCCGCGGUAAUACGUAGGGUGCAAGCGUUAAUCGGAAUUACUGGGCGUAAAGCGUGCGCAGGCGGUUCGGAAAGAGAGAUGUGAAAUCCCAGAGCUUAACUUUGGAACUGCAUUUUUAACUACCGGGCUAGAGUGUGUCAGAGGGAGGUGGAAUUCCGCGUGUAGCAGUGAAAUGCGUAGAUAUGCGGAGGAACACCGAUGGCGAAGGCAGCCUCCUGGGAUAACACUGACGCUCAUGCACGAAAGCGUGGGGAGCAAACAGGAUUAGAUACCCUGGUAGUCCACGCCCUAAACGAUGUCAACUAGCUGUUGGGGCCUUCGGGCCUUGGUAGCGCAGCUAACGCGUGAAGUUGACCGCCUGGGGAGUACGGUCGCAAGAUUAAAACUUAAAGGGAAUUGACGGGGUCAUAGCUG